CCCUUAGACGUUCUGGGCCGCACGCGCGCUACACUGACGAAGGCAACGAGCUUUCCUUUACCGAAAGGUACGGGUAAUCUUUUGAAACUUCGUCGUGCUGGGGAUAGAUCCUUGCAAUUUUUGAUCUUAAACGAGGAAUGCCUAGUAAGCGCAAGUCAUCAAAUCGCGUUGAUUACGUCCCUGCCCUUUGUACACACCGCCCGUCGCUCCUACCGAUUGAAUGUGUUGGUGAGGAGCUCGGAUUGGCAGCAGUUGGUGGUUCGCCACCGGCUAUUGCUGAGAAGUCCUCCAAACCGCCCCAUUUAGAGGAAGGAGAAGUCGUAACA
rnacentral:rRNA from 1 species